rnacentral:tRNA from 1 species
GGGUGCUUAGCUCAGUUGGUUAGAGUGCUACCUUGACAUGGUAGAGGUCGCUGGUUCGAAUCCUGCAGCACCCA